UCUGUCUAUAAUGUUGGUGAAGA
rnacentral:siRNA from 1 species